rnacentral:rRNA from 1 species
GAGGAAUAUUGGUCAAUGGACGAGAGUCUGAACCAGCCAAGUAGCGUGAAGGAUGACUGCCCUAUGGGUUGUAAACUUCUUUUAUACGGGAAUAAAGUGAGGCACGUGUGCCUUUUUGUAUGUACCGUAUGAAUAAGGAUCGGCUAGCUCCGUGCCAGCAGCCGCGGUAAUACGGAGGAUCCGAGCGUUAUCCGGAUUUAUUGGGUUUAAAGGGAGCGUAGGCGGACGCUUAAGUCAGUUGUGAAAGUUUGCGGCUCAACCGUAAAAUUGCAGUUGAUACUGGGUGUCUUGAGUACAGUAGAGGCAGGCGGAAUUCGUGGUGUAGCGGUGAAAUGCUUAGAUAUCACGAAGAACUCCGAUUGCGAAGGCAGCUUGCUGGACUGUAACUGACGCUGAUGCUCGAAAGUGUGGGUAUCAAACAGGAUUAGAUACCCUGGUAGUCCACACAGUAAACGAUGAAUACUCGCUGUUUGCGAUAUACAGUAAGCGGCCAAGCGAAAGCGUUAAGUAUUCCACCUGGGGAGUACGCCGGCAACGGUGAAACUCAAAGGAAUUGACGGGGGCCCGCACAAGCGGAGGAACAUGUGGUUUAAUUCGAUGAUACGCGAGGAACCUUACCCGGGCUUGAAUUGCAACUGAAUGAUGUGGAGACAUGUCAGCCGCAAGGCAGUUGUGAAGGUGCUGCAUGGUUGUCGUCAGCUCGUGCCGUGAGGUGUCGGCUUAAGUGCCAUAACGAGCGCAACCCUUAUCGAUAGUUACCAUCAGGUUAUGCUGGGGACUCUGUCGAGACUGCCGUCGUAAGAUGUGAGGAAGGUGGGGAUGACGUCAAAUCAGCACGGCCCUUACGUCCGGGGCUACACACGUGUUACAAUGGGGGGUACAGAAGGCAGCUACACGGCGACGUGAUGCUAAUCCCUAAAGCCUCUCUCAGUUCGGAUUGGAGUCUGCAACCCGACUCCAUGAAGCUGGAUUCGCUAGUAAUCGCGCAUCAGCCACGGCGCGGUGAAUACGUUCCCG